GGACAAAUCUAAAAAAAGAAUUUAGCGUAAUGUGUGUGUGUGUGCUGGGUAUCUAAGCUUCUGUUUCCACUAAAUGUGCUUUGCUGCACAUUUGAAAAAGUGUUGUUUAAAUCUCUUCCUAUUAGCCUUAUGUCCGUAUUUAUUAUUUUAUUUGAAUUACAUCAGUAUUAUUGUAGUUUAUUAUCAACUGACAAAUUUUCCCACAUGCUUCCCCUUAAUGUACUAUGUGGUUUUACAUUGAGAGUGAGUUUAGUAGUGUAAUUUUCAACAGUCCACAAAAGACAUAGAAGCCUUUCAAAAGUAGUUCUUUGCUGGUAAUAUUUUUCUAAUUCUAGUACUGGUGUUUUAGCAACUUUAUGAUUUUAACGGUUCGCUAUCGAUACCUUUUGCUUCAACUCUAACUUCAUUUUGUGCUUUCCUUUCUGGACUCUCCCAUCGAUG
rnacentral:lncRNA from 1 species